CACCGCGGUUAUACGAGAGGCCCAAGCUGAUAAAUCCGGCGUAAAGAGUGGUUAUGGACAAACACAUCACUAAAGCUAAAGGCCCCCUAGGCUGUUAUACGCACCUGGCGGUUUGAACCACUAACGCGAAAGUAGCUUUAACCUUAUUCUACCAGAACCCACGACAGCUGGGGUA
rnacentral:rRNA from 1 species